AUUUGUCAUUACUGCAAAAUAUUAUCAUAUUUUUGAGUUAUCUGUUAUAUUUGGCGCUUAUUGAAUGGAGUUGAUCAUGCAAGAGGAUUGCAGCAUUAACUAUUUCGUUUCGAAAAACGGUGUUUAUUAUUACGCUUAAAGCGUCAUCUUAACAAAUUAUACACGAAAGUAAAUAGAAAGCCAGAGGCCGUAGAGAUAAAACAUUGCCUCGGUGAUGAUUGUCGUGAAUUUUUGAGGAAAAAUCUAUGAAAAUUUGUUGCAGAUCAACUGGCCCCUAAGACCCGCAAGGAAUUGACGCCGAUCUCCUCACCCUCUCUCCUUCACUGGGUUUAUUAUUUUUUCCAGAUUGUUAUAAUGAUCAAUGGAUCAACAUGUUUUACUGCAUAAAUGACCUUUGGCUGAAAGUUGUUUUUCACACAGUUUUUUACCAUCCUGCUUGCUAUAGUUAACAUCCAGCGUAAAUGAUGGUGUCGUUUUAUGGGUAAAUGUAUAGUUUAUUACUUUAAUAAUUUUCCAGCGAACGUGCAGUUCUAGGUGACAAGGAAAGAGUAUUUAAUAUCUAUUGAGAAAUACAGG